AUUGAACGCUGGCGGCAGGCCUAACACAUGCAAGUCGAGCGGAUGAAGGGGGCUUGCUCCUGGAUUCAGCGGCGGACGGGUGAGUAAUGCCUAGGAAUCUGCCUGGUAGUGGGGGAUAACGUCCGGAAACGGGCGCUAAUACCGCAUACGUCCUGAGGGAGAAAGUGGGGGAUCUUCGGACCUCACGCUAUCAGAUGAGCCUAGGUCGGAUUAGCUAGUUGGUGGGGUAAAGGCCUACCAAGGCGACGAUCCGUAACUGGUCUGAGAGGAUGAUCAGUCACACUGGAACUGAGACACGGUCCAGACUCCUACGGGAGGCAGCAGUGGGGAAUAUUGGACAAUGGGCGAAAGCCUGAUCCAGCCAUACCGCGUGUGUGAAGAAGGUCUUCGGAUUGUAAAGCACUUUAAGUUGGGAGGAAGGGCAGUAAGUUAAUACCUUGCUGUUUUGACGUUACCAACAGAAUAAGCACCGGCUAACUUCGUG
rnacentral:rRNA from 1 species